GUUUUGUAGUACCUUGAAUUGUGAUUUAGACCUAGUUUAGAAAAUCAUUCGGUAAACGGCGCCGAACAAAUUUAUUUGACCCCACAAUUUAAAAGUGUUGGCUCCGUCACUGAUGGGAAGCGAUCACUAAAUCUGAAUCAUGAACCAUGAUUCAAAAUAACAUCUUUGUCUUCUUCCGCUAUGGAUACACCAAAUCAAGUAAAUACUUAAAAUUCUACUAUUUCUGGAAUUGAAAUUUUGGUCACUUCAGUAUAGUUUUUCUAUCGCAUCUAGCUUGGAUUGUCGUUUCACCUUAUUGGUAAGGUUUUUAAUUUCCCGUUAGGUAUCUUUGAUUUUCUGGUAAACAAAUUAAUUGGCGAAACAUGUUUGCAAUUGAAGGGUAGCUCAAGCAAGGUAAGAUCUUCAUCUCCCAGGGUUUAAAUUAAUAUGUAGUACCAUGUUUCUGCAAAAAUGGUCAAGUUAUCGUUGUUCUGUCUCUUAGAUCCGUAUGUAUUCAAGUAACUUUCAUUUUAAUGUUUGAAUGUCUGUAUGUGUGUAAGCUUACAUUGUUCAGUAAGUAGUUCAAAGAAAAUGCAUUGUGAGAUUCUAUAUUUGUGAGAACCGAAAUAUGAUCACCUAUUGCAAAUUCAAUGAGGUUCUAUUAAAAAUGGAGGUGCAGAUCGGGAAAAGGAACAGUUGUGUUAGCCAGCUAUAAUAUGAUAUUCAUACUCUUCACGACAGACCGCGGAGACUCAGCAGAAUAAUAAAAUGUGGUUGUGCUAGAACUGGAGCCACCAUACCUAUCAUGCAGCGAAAAGAUCAAGAUAAUUGAGACCACACAGAGGAUAUUAACGCAGUUGUGUAUUAGUAAAAACAGCGUCUUGACAUAUCAUUACGUGUUACAAUACUCUUAGAAAUCUCCAUGGGAGUAGGCGAAGAAUAUCUUCCUUUUGUCUUCCAAAGAUCAGUUACCUGAAAAAGGAUCAUAUUUAUGCACAAGCUGUUGCAAGAGGGAGAUCCUAACUCCAACGAUGGUUCAAGUCCACAAAGGUUAGUUUUCAAACCCUACCUGCCUCGGACAAUUAUUGCAUCAUACAUGGUUUGUUUUCAACGUUCCUGUUCGAUUCUUCCAUUGAAGAUAAACAUAACGAUCCUAUUAUAAAGCACAAUAGUUUUUUUCUUUUAAUAUUAUUAUUAGCUUGGAAUUGCUGAGCAUGGGUUUGUAUGACCAGAUUAUUUAAUCUUAGCGUUUUGAAUGCUACUGAACCAAAAUGUCUACAAGACUAGGUCGACGACCGGGAUAAAUGGUAUAUAAUGACCAAAGAGCGCUAUGGAAAAAACAAGAUGAUAGUCGACUGAGUACAUACUAGGCAGUGAGGUAUGUCCAUAUCGAUCUUGGAUGAGCUAUUUAAUUAUGUUUACACUCUAUCUAGGUGCAACUGAGCUGUGGUCCGCAUUGAUGCAUUCUGAAGAAGGCGAAAUCAACACAACUACAAUGGUGUGGUGCAACAUAUGAAUAAUACUUGGUGGUUCUUUUCUUUUUAUUUUAAAAAAAAAUAAUUAGGUGUGUUUCCCUUUCUGUAGUUCGUCUUACGGGUUGAACAUUGCACCCUACCCGGAUGGGAAGGUCAAUUGAAUCCCAUGUGAAGACGGGAUUAGGUGGCAGGUGACUUUUUCAGGAUUUGCGCUGAAUGAAUAAUUGUCGCAGUUUAAGAUACAAUGCAGGCCACAACUCUGCGACAUUUCGGGAUGAACAUUCGGGCUCAUAAGUUACUUUUUUCUACACAAGCCGGUAGAAUGUAACACCAGACUGCCCACUAUGCAUGAACAUUGGAAUCACUCAAAUCGCAAAAAAUGAAUAAUAAAGGUGUUAAGGAGGGCUGCGAUUACAAAAGAGUGGAUGAAGUUCAGUGAAGAUGCUAAAAACAGGAAUUUCCCUUCACAGACCUUAGGUGGGAGCUACCACAAACAAUUGCUGAUCAUAACUUCAACUCUGAUCGAAUUGUCCUGUGUUAGACUUAUCUGCCUAAAAACAACAAAACAUUGAAACGAGAAGAGUAAGAGAUUGUAUGUAUUUGCAGUGUUAUUGUAAUCAAAGUUUCCCUAUAAAGUUGGAGUUUUAAGACAUGUACGACGUUGCCCUACAAAGUUGCCCUAUAAAG